ACUAAACCCGUUCUCAGUCAGUUCAGGUUGCGAACACAUGCAUGGAGGUAAGGUUCGCACUCACACACACAGCCAGAAUAACAGUUAAGUCACGUAACCUUGAAACUUCACCCAGCCAUUAUGAGCCGAUUCUGCUAGCCCCACUCCAACAUGAACGGGACUUAGUUUAGCCUGAUUCCUCUCUAAAAUACCCAUCAUGGACUACAUCUCCAUCUUUUUAAUUUUCCCCUCUGUUGCCUUGUAACCCCCAAUGCCUUACCACAGCAACCACCGCUGAUUACCAUAACCGUCCUCGUAACGCAGAGGAUUUCAUUACGCUUGUCUGUUGAAGUUAUGUUGGGUUUUAUGUGGUUUUAUUAUGCGUGUGUGGUUGACCGUAGGCCGUCGUUAAUAAUGGGCGAAGCGGCAGUUUAACAAUGACACUCCAUUAACGGGUGCAUGCGCCACAGAGCACAGCCAGGAUAAUGUUAUUAAACUGAUUAUUCAAACCCCCCGUACAGUUGCCUCUGCUGCAGCUAUUUUUUGUUGAGCGUUUUACAGACUGUGUAUUUCCUCUCCAACUCCACAAACUUCUGCUUACUUUAUGUCCGAGGUCAAGCUCUAGGAGUAAAGAAGACUAUAACCAAACUAGAAAGACUUUAAAAAAUUUGUCACACUCUGUGGGAAAAAAAUACAAGUUGUAAAUUUAAAAAUGCCCUCUGGUAUGUGAAAUGCCAGUGAGCAGCGUUUUGUUUUGGCCUUUAAAUCGGUCAUGACUGAAAAGCCGUGAGUUCCCCAGUGGGAUUUGGUCCUGGGGCUUCAAUCGGUUGGCCAGAAAAGACAAGAUUAUGUUUCAGGUUUUUCACACAGAAGAGCUGUCCCCGAGGUACAAGGCUGUUGUUGGGAGGGGGAGAAGUGUAGUUUACAGUGACAUCCUGACCUUGAUAGUGGCUCAUGGAUAAACCACCGGACAUCAGCUCGAGGCGAAGCAGACGCUGUGCAGGGAAUACAGAGCAGCCGAAAAAGUUCUGUCUGGUGCUGGCAGGGUCCUAACAACAGACUGUAUAAAUAAUUGACACAGCCACUGACCUCACAUAUUGAUUUGUCCUUUUGAAGCCUCCUGUUGCCAUGUCAGUUUCUUGAAACCAGAUGUGGCGGAAUUCAGAGGAGGGGGAGGCGCUGGAGAAAGUGAGUAGGUUGUGGACACCAAGUUAUCAAAAUUAUACACACCAGUCUAAUGGCCAAUUUGAGCCUACAAAUAAACGAUGUGAAAUACACAGUAGUUUGGGUAUUUUGAAGACUUCAAGAGACUGUAGAACCAGGGGAGUCACAGCUGAUGGUGGGUAAACAGGAUUAAAGCUGUGAACCAAGUCACCUGACCUAAAAAACUCGGUUAUCCUUCAACUCAACAACAAUCCUGACUCUAAUGCGCUGACCUGAACAUGUGAAGCACAUACCAAGCAUUGCUAAAAGACUAGGCGUGUUGACAAUCUAUCCAGGCACUUAGAGUGAAGACACCAAUAUAUUACCAUUAAGAAAUACAGAGCUGCCAACCAUCAUGCUUUGAGUGUGACAGUCACGCAAUGUGACCCAUUCUCACACCACACGCCACACUUGACAUUUUUCACGCUUAUUUUUCCCCAUUCAAUACUCUGCAUUUUUUUCAUGAUAAUAAAUUUAGCUAGCCAUAGUUUGAGUAACUGACCAAGAUAACCAAUCCCAGACCAAUACAUCAGUCCUUUGUGCCAAAUGCUGCAUUCAAGUAACCUCUGAAGUCAGAAGUCAGAGCUGUCACACCUGAGUUACCAGUGUUUCAGUUAUCAAGUCGGAAAAAGCAAAAUCUGAGGCGGAGACAAGAUGGCUACAUCCGCGCAAGUUAUUUUACCGCUUGCCUUGUCCGAAUAUAAGACGAGGGCUAAAAUAACUUUCGUAGAUGUAGCCAUCUUGUUUCAUGCCUCCGAUUUUGCUUUUUUCCGACUUGGUAACUGAAACGCUGGUAACUCGGGUGUGACGUCAUUUUCAGCUUCGACAUCUGACUUCUGAGGUAACUCGAGCGCUAACCAACCAUGAAAGGCACCAUGCAAUAUAAACCAAUCAGAAGCAACAUAAGGUGGGUCUUAAUGUCUCUAACUAUCUUUCACAUCUUUCAAUGUAAUGAAAUAUUGACAAAUAAAUGUAUUUUGUCAAAUUCUUGUUACAAUGUUCAUUUCUAAUUUCUGGUUAAUUAAGACUAGCAUGUGGGAGAGCAGCUGGCAUGGAGGUGAGGACAUCAGUCUUAAGGUAUAAAUCAACGUUAAAAAUGGCAAAAAAAUGUUGGCGCUGACCUUUGGUCGGGGGCUGAACACCUCAUAACGCUAAAGUCUCACUCUUGUCAUUUUCUGAAACUUGGCAGCCCUGCAGAUUAUAGGGCAGAGCUUCUUUUACAGUCUUAAUUACAACAAGCUGCAUUACUAUCCAUAAUUUUGGAGAAAAAUCCCCGAAAGACAUCUUAACAGAAGUCUACUUCAGCUGUAGCAGUGUUAACUCAAAGUGACACCUAGCACACAGCUAGCAGCGCGCAUCUGCUGCCCAGAGUUGCCACAUCCUCCAGUCGGGGAUGGCUGGCAGAAAUAGGGCAACAGAACCAGGCCCUCCCUUCCUUACACAACAAAGAUGAGAAAACAUGUUCCUCCAAUACUUGAAGAUAGAUUUUGACAAACUAAAGUGAAUCUACAGAGCAGCAACCAAACCUAGUAGACUAACAGUCCUAGCACUAGCAUCCUCCUCCUUCCACUUCCGUUGUGUAAAUGGGUAACAGGUGUCAUGGUGCGCCCCCUUGAUUCGCUUUCAUUUGGGCUUCAUUCAGUUAUUUAUUCAUUUAACCAGAGCCCAUUGAAUUUUGUAGAGAUGCGACUAUUGCAAGAGAAAUGAGCAAUUUCUGAAACCGCAGGUGUUUGCGUUCUCAUCUAUUUAUUUUGGUGGAAAGAUUGGAAGUUAGGAGACUGGGGACUCAUUGUCCUAACACUGUUCAAAGAAAACAAAAAGACAAAUUGUAAGUUUGGUACCUGGUUAUAACAAAGAGACUGGCUAAGAGCGAGUGUUGCUAAGAAUUGACUUUCCUAUUCUCCUGCUGCUUGGACACAACAAAGAAUUGAUGUAAAAAGUUUCUGACAAAAUUAGCAAGAAUGAAUGCAGCACAACUCACAUUAACGUCAAGUCUUCAGCAAGCUAUCUAUACUGGGCGAGGUCAACAUCGCCUGUCAACUUGAUGAGAGACGCGAUGAGGGAGUGCAGAAAACAAGCAUUUACUGCCAAGGAAGAGAGAGAGAGAGAGACUGGUAAAGAUCAUACAUGUCAGUGUGGUGUUGUAGCGUUUCGCUCUAAAUUGACGUCCACAUGUGAUGCUGCUUUUGCUAUAAAUGGGUGUAUUGAAUUUGUUUGCGAAGCUACCACUGCUAACGACUCAGAACUUUUAAGCGCUAACCUAGUUUUAACGGGUGAGUUAUGUCAAAUUUAGUGUCCUGAGUUGUUCUAUAUGAGACAUAAAAGACAGAAAUGUCCCUUUUUUGUUUAAGGCUGUGAACAUGUUGAAUGUUGCACUGAAUUUUGGCGUUUUAAUGUGGAGCCUGAUGGGGAUUAACUCGCUUUUAGAGUCAGCCUCAAGCGGCCACUAGGGAUGCAGCAGAUUUUGGCGCUUUCGUGUUGGCCUCAUUUCUCAUAUCUGGAGGAUGUUGCUCGGUCCUACUAGGACAAGGAACCAAAUCUGUGACAUUUACAUUUGGCAACUCUCUCCCGAUAUCAACAGAUAUUCUGGUGAGAAACUGUCCUGGUAACCUCACACAGACCUGCCUUCUUGUGUGGGGGGUUGUACUAAACAUGACACCCCAUUGACUAACACCCCAAAACACCAGGCAUUUGCGACUGUUUGCCAUCGCCCGCUGCUGUUCGCGUCUCGGUCACUUGGUUUUGUAUGCGCUUCCUGCAUAUGUUGUGUCAAAUGGCUGAAAAUGAAGGAGUGGAGUUCGCAGGAGAAGCAGGUGUUUUCCCCUCAUUACUUCCUGACAAUGCCCCAUCUGGUGCUGGGAAGCUGCUGCCAUCGACUCCCUGCCAACCAAGGGGAACAAACACUUGCAGAGAGGCUGACAGGGAAAAAUGGGAUAGGAUUGGAAUCGGGGAUCGAGUGGGGUAGAUACUCUCCUCGCCAAAACAACAAGGUUAAAAAGUUGUGUAGGGAAAAUGAAAUCACAGAGCAGAGGAAGCCCGAAGCGGAGAAUUUAUGAUUGCUCACUGAUCCUCAAGCCGGGGUCAGAUAUGAGGCGUGAGUUCAAAGAGAACUUUCUGGAAGGACUUUAAGUCAAGGGCAGAAAUAUUAAUAUUAAUGUUAUUAGACUGCUUUGAUGCUUUACUGCCUGUUUGAACUUUUCUAAAUGUUGGAGCCAAACUGGCCAAAGUGUCUGGAGGAUUCGUGACAGAUGAGAGGGAGGCCAAACUAGAUUUGAAACCCAUUACAUGCUGUUCCUGAAGCUACCUGAGGGGGGCGCCAAAGAUACAGUUUCAGAAUGAUGUCUUCAAGCCCUGGACACUUCUUGCCUUUGGUACUAGAUUAGGAGAGGGUAAAAAAAAAAAAAAGAGAUGUGGAAAGAGAAACAAUUUUCAUAAUGGAGCGGCGCUCUCUGACUGGAAAACACAAUUAUGGGCAAACUGUGUCCACAGCAUGAGGGUAAAGUUAAAGAGCCCCUUUAGCAAGACCUAAUAGGCCCUGACUACAGAUGAGCAGAGACACUGGCUUGUCCAGAGAACAAGUUUUUGUUCCAGGCCAUUACCAUCAUUGUGAACAGCGACUUAACUGAAUACACUCAGGUUUUUUCUCUCUGCUCUCUUUGAUGAGUCCUAUAUGUGCAUUUGGGAGAUAAUGGGGACUCUUUUGCAACAUAAUGUCCCCUAAUCUACAAAAACCCUGAGAAUACUGCAUCUGUGCUGAUGUGCCUGUAAAAUAGAAAGAUAAAGAAAAACACAAAUGCAGAAAUAGUGAGUUCAGCAGAUCCCUGAGACACAGAUUAGUACAAUUCCAGGUCAGCUAAGGCUUCAGAAAAUGACUGCAGGAUUUCUCUCACUUCACCUAAAAAGAAACAUCUGUUUCGCUUUCAUCAUCUUGAUGAUUUUGCCAGCCCUUCCUUUUCCUCCAUGAGCUGAAUGUGGAAUGAAUUGGCAAUUUGUGUCUGAAAAUUAAUGUUGGUUAUCCAUCACAUUUAGCGCGAAUUGAUUUCAAUUAAUUGGAAGGUGCAACCGUUCUUUCCUCCUCUGUUCUCCUCCUGUGAAGCCUUUUUCUUCUCCAAGCCCGGCCCCUCUCUCCUAAUCCGCACACCCCUUCACCUGCUCCUGCUCUCUGCCAUUGGUCAGAGCGCA
rnacentral:lncRNA from 1 species